GAGUAGAUUUCCGGCUGACUAUGGCGGUUCAAGCUCUCAGUUGGAUCUCUCCUUUCCGAAUGUUGAGUUGAAUUGAGCGUUCCUCAACAUCGUCGAGUGCUGUACUACUGCCAAUAACUCAAUUUCUUCCUUGUUGCUCUCUAGGAUAAGUUUAUGCUUGCAAGUGAAUAAUCCUUCUGUUCUGUUCGAUUCUGUCUGGUAAGCGAAUCGAGGGGUAGGGGUUGCGGAUUCGCGCCACUGGAGGAACAAGAGAGAGAGAUGCUCCGCUCUUCAUACUACGCCAUCGUAACUUCUUCAAGGAGGCCAGAAAAUCUAUCAGUUCGGAGGAUGGCAGACAACUGCAGCAGAACAACUUAGAAUCGAUUUUAUUUUAUAUUAAACUUUGUUUUCAUUCUGGUGGUUAAAUAUCUAUUGGACUUAGCCAGGUAGAUUUUCUGGUGGUAUGGCUAAAUUAUCAUAAAUAUCAUUAAACUUUGUCCCAUAGUUAAAAAAUACUUCUAUUAUUUCAAAAGUUGCAAUAUUACCUUUGA